CGUUUGAAACAGAUGACCAGGGAGAUGUUGGUAGUUCUGCACUCCGAGUUUGGAAUUUCCAGAGGGAUUUAACGAAUUAGUCUGUAUAUAGGACAUCAAACACCAUUGUGGGAUUUGUCGGCCUCUUUGAGAGGCAUGACAAGUCAUGGAUGAAUGGGAGGGUUAGCAUCAGACGAUGUUAAGGGGCUCAUCUGCAGUCCAGUCCAGUGGGACCUGGAGUCUACCUUCAUGGAGGUCAAAUCUCCAGAGCUGACCACUCACCUCCAUCUACACUCAGCUUCCCUCAUACAUCUUACAGAGGGAGGAUGUAACAACACUCAGCAUGAUGCAACACUUACAAGGUCAAGUUCUACUCUAGAACAAGAAAUCUGCAACAGAAAUAUUGUGGCAUAUAGACCCACGCAAAGAGGUGACUCUGUAUACACCUGAAAUUGUUAGGUAAUGCCAGUUGUAAUGGAUGUAUGCCUGACAACAUAAGUAUUGUUGGAAGUUCAGUGCUCAGUUGACAGGCUAUGAAGACAGGAGACUUGGAGGUUGAUGUGAAAUGGCCAUCAGCCUGGGAGCUAGUUAGGGAGUUCUGUAAGCGAGACUAUGAAGUACUACAACUGUAGCGCAGUGAUAUUUGGAGUGUGCAAUUCAGUGAGACUGUUACAGUUCCUGCAUUAAAAUCCACUGGCAGGAAAUAGCUAGUGGAGACUAUAAUAGACCGAGGAUACUACUGUGUGUUACAGUGAACUGUAAAGUGUGGAAAUAGCAGUAGUCUUACGGUUGUUUGUGGUACAACCGGUAGGCGAUCAAUAAACCAAAUAUCCAAUCCAAACCCCAUCUAGUAGUCACCCAUACAUACCCAUGCCCUUAUGAAAUCUUUGAAUAUCCACGUCUGGAAACAUGAAUAGAAUUGCUUCCCUUAACAACUCUUCAAAGAGUACAUUAAAUUUUGUCUGAACCAUCUAAUUUUGGUUCAAGGCUUAUAAUCUUAAUAACAACUUUGCUAAUGGGCUUAAUGAUUGCAUGCCUUUAGGUCCCUUGACAACAUAUUCAUUAAAAUUCUUAAAUUCCAUUCACUUUAGUGCCACUUACACACCAACAUUUACCUUGCAUAAGUUUCACUCACUUCACAUUAUUUAGCAUGUGAGAGAAAAAUAACUUUGAAUACUGACACAAUCCUAUCAAAAAUUAUACCCAAAAGUUUGUGUCUAUUCUGUCAGAAGUUUUGCAUUGUCACCAAAGUAUACACACUCUUAACAGGAGUUUUGUCAUGGGGAGCAAAUAGGAUUGAAUAUACUAUAAUCAGACUUGCACAGAGUGAGUGCUGGGCUAGUGAAGAAGAAAGUUAUUCUGAAAAGCAAGAAGCAAUGAGAAUGCGAAAUUUCAAAGAACAUACACAGAAUAAAUGUACAGACUUGAGUACAAACCACACCUUUCCAACCCUGUUACACCAGCAAACUCUAUGGAAGUUUCCUACAAGAUGUAUACAUUUUAUGAACUAGCUUUAGGUAAGUGUUAGGUGUGUAACUCUUUAGUGCAUAGGGUGCAGGCCAUUACCUCUCCUGUAGUGGAGUACUACAAACCCUCCCCCCCCCUUAAAUUUGUUACUCCAAUGGAUUCCAGCAUCAAUACGAAGAAGAGUACUUACCGGACAUAUUGUUCAUAUAAACUUUCUGUCAAUACACUGUGAUGACAUGUGAAAUAUUUAUUAAUUCAUCCAUUCUCUAAUACAUUUAUUAUUCAAUUUUAUUUCUAUACCCAAAAUACCUAUGUGCAUUAAAAAUGUGGAAAUACAUGUUUUUAGGUGACUUAAAACUCUACAUAUAAACUAUAAUCAUAGUAUCUUUAACAUUACAUACAAACUUUUUUUUUCCCCCUAAAAACCAGUUCUUUGAUUUGCUUGAGACUACAGAGUCUGCCUCUGGCAAGUUACCAUCCACAUUUUGGUACAACCUCCUACAUGUUCAUAAUAUGCAUAGAUAACAUACAAAAUGUCAAUAACACAAAUUAUCCCAUAACCAGCUCUAGCAGUGUGAUUAAAGGAAUAACUGACUGUCAGAUGUUGCCCAUGACACAGGUACUGUAUGUUGUGAAACCCCUCAGUAGAGGCCAAUAGUGUAUUACUUGUAUAUUAUGCUAUGUUGAUCACA